rnacentral:rRNA from 1 species
UACAGAGGGGGCAAGCGUUAUUCGGAAUUAUUGGGCGUAAAGCGCGCGCAGGCGGUCCUUUAAGUCUGAUGUGAAAGCCCACGGCUCAACCGUGGAGGGUCAUUGGAAACUGGGGGACUUGAGUACAGAAGAGAAGAGUGGAAUUCCACGUGUAGCGGUGAAAUGCGUAGAGAUGUGGAGGAACACCAGUGGCGAAGGCGACUCUUUGGUCUGUAACUGACGCUGAGGCGCGAAAGCGUGGGGAGCAAACAGG